UACGUAGGGUGCAAGCGUUGUCCGGAAUUAUUGGGCGUAAAGAGCUCGUAGGCGGUUUGUCGCGUCUGCUGUGAAAGCCCGAGGCUCAACCUCGGGUCUGCAGUGGGUACGGGCAGACUUGAGUGGUGUAGGGGAGACUGGAAUUCCUGGUGUAGCGGUGGAAUGCGCAGAUAUCAGGAGGAACACCGAUGGCGAAGGCAGGUCUCUGGGCACUUACUGACGCUGAGGAGCGAAAGCGUGGGGAGCGAACAGG
rnacentral:rRNA from 1 species